rnacentral:ncRNA from 1 species
CUUAUCAAGAGUGGCGGAGGAACUGGUCCUGUGAAGCCCGGCAACCUAAUUGCAAGCGCUUGCUUGUCAGGAAAGGUGCUAAAUCCUGCGGAGUUAUCCGAGAGAUGAGG